rnacentral:rRNA from 1 species
GACGAACGCUGGCGGCGUGCCUAAUACAUGCAAGUAGAACGCAGUUGCGAACGGGUGAGUAACGCGUAGGUAACUGCCUCAUAGCGGGGGAUAACUAUUGGAAACGAUAGCUAAUACCGCAUACUGUGAGAUGGACCUGCGUUGUAUUAGCUAGUUGGUGAGGUAAAGGCUCACCAAGGCGACGAUACAUAGCCGACCUGAGGGGGUGGACGGCCACACUUGGAAGGGGACACGGCCCAGACUCCUACGGGGGGAGGCGUGAGGGAAAUUUCGGCAAUGGGGGGAAGGCUGACCGAGCAACGGCGGGGUAGGGAAGAAGGGUUUCGGAUCGUAAAGCCUUUUUGUUAGAGAAACGGUACCUAACCAGAAAGGGACGGCUAACUACGUGCCAGCAGCCGCGGUAAUAC